GACGAACGCUGGCGGCGUGCUUAACACAUGCAAGUCGAACGGUAAGGCCUUUUCGGAGUUCCUCGUGUGUCGAACGGGUAAGUAACACUAGGGUGAUCUGCCCUGCCCUCUGGGCUAAGCCCGGGAAACUGGGUCGAAUACCGGUUCGGCCUGCACUCUAGAGUGUGUGGUUGAAAGUUUUUUCGGUGUAGGAUGAUCCCGCGGCCUAGCAGCUUGUUGGUGGGGUAAUGUCCUACCAAGGCGGCGUCGGGUAGCCGGACUGGGAGGUUGGUCGGCCCCAUUGGGCCAGGGGUAGGAGCCAGACUCCAUCGGCAGGCAGCGGUGGAGGACUGUGCACGAUGGGCGCAAGGCGGAUGCAGGGAUUCCGCGUGGGGGAUGACUGCUUGCGGGUAGUAAACUCGUUUCGCCAGGGACGAAGCGUUUUGUGACGGUACCUGGAGAAGAAGCACCGGCUAACUACGU
rnacentral:rRNA from 1 species